CAGUCGCCGCGGGAAAACAGAGGGUGCAAGCGUUAAUCGGAAUUACUGGGCGUAAAGGGCGCGUAGGCGGAUGUUUAAGUCAGAGGUGAAAGCCCAGGGCUCAACCUUGGAACUGCCUUUGAUACUGGACAUCUUGAGUGUGGGAGAGGUGAGUGGAACUCCGAGUGUAGAGGUGAAAUUCGUAGAUAUUCGGAAGAACACCAGUGGCGAAGGCGACUCACUGGCCCAUUACUGACGCUGAGGCGCGAAAGCGUGGGGAGCAAACAGGAUUAGAUACCCCGGUAGUCCCUGUCUCUUAUAC
rnacentral:rRNA from 1 species